rnacentral:rRNA from 1 species
AGUGAACGCUGGCGGUAGGCCUAACACAUGCAAGUCGAACGGCAGCACAGUAAGAGCUUGCUCUUACGGGUGGCGAGUGGCGGACGGGUGAGGAAUACAUCGGAAUCUACUUUUUCGUGGGGGAUAACGUAGGGAAACUUACGCUAAUACCGCAUACGACCUACGGGUGAAAGCAUGGGAUCUUCGGACCUUGCGCGAUCGAAUGAGCCGAUGUCGGAUUAGCUAGUUGGCGGGGUAAAGGCCCACCAAGGCGACGAUCCGUAGCUGGUCUGAGAGGAUGAUCAGCCACACUGGAACUGAGACACGGUCCAGACUCCUACGGGAGGCAGCAGUGGGGAAUAUUGGACAAUGGGCGCAAGCCUGAUCCAGCCAUACCGCGUGGGUGAAGAAGGCCUUCGGGUUGUAAAGCCCUUUUGUUGGGAAAGAAAAGCAGCAGGUUAAUACCCCGCUGUUCUGACGGUACCCAAAGAAUAAGCACCGGCUAACUUCGUG